rnacentral:rRNA from 1 species
ACGAAUGCUGGCGGCGUGCUUAACACAUGCAAGUCGAACGGAAAGGCCCUGCUUUUGUGGGGUGCUCGAGUGGCGAACGGGUGAGUAACACGUGAGUAACCUGCCCUUGACUUUGGGAUAACUUCAGGAAACUGGGGCUAAUACCGGAUAGGAGCUCCUGCUGCAUGGUGGGGGUUGGAAAGUUUCGGCGGUUGGGGAUGGACUCGCGGCUUAUCAGCUUGUUGGUGGGGUAGUGGCUUACCAAGGCUUUGACGGGUAGCCGGCCUGAGAGGGUGACCGGCCACAUUGGGACUGAGAUACGGCCCAGACUCCUACGGGAGGCAGCAGUGGGGAAUAUUGCACAAUGGGCGGAAGCCUGAUGCAGCAACGCCGCGUGCGGGAUGACGGCCUUCGGGUUGUAAACCGCUUUCGCCUGUGACGAGGCGUGAGUGACGGUAAUGGGUAAAGAAGCACCGGCUAACUACGUG